AUGUCCAUAUUAUGGGUUAGU
rnacentral:miRNA from 1 species